rnacentral:piRNA from 1 species
UUCCCAAUGCGACUCACCGAG